UACAGAGGGUGCGAGCGUUAAUCGGAAUUACUGGGCGUAAAGCGUGCGUAGACGGCUAUCUAAGUCGGGUGUGAAAGCCCCGGGCUCAACCUGGGAAUUACAUUCGAGACUGAAUAGCUAGGGUACGGUAGAGGGAAGUGGAAUUUCCGGUGUAGCGGUGAAAUGCGUAGAUAUCGGAAGGAACAUCAGUGGCGAAAGCGACUUCCUGGACCAGUACCGACGUUCAGGCACGAAAGCGUGGGGAGCAAACAGGA
rnacentral:rRNA from 1 species